CGGCGCAGAGAAGGUCGAGUG
rnacentral:siRNA from 1 species